rfam:Triticum aestivum genome assembly, contig: Triticum_aestivum_CS42_TGACv1_scaffold_002964_1AL
UAUAUACUCCCUCUGUCCUAAAAUUCUUGUCUUAGAAUUGUCUAGAUAUGGAUGCAUCAAGUCACGUUUUAGUAUUAGAUACAUCCGUAUCUAGACAAAUUUAAGACAAGAAUUUUGGGACGGAGGGAGUAUAAU